rnacentral:rRNA from 1 species
GUGCCAGCAGCCGCGGUAAUACGGAAGGUGCAAGCGUUAAUCGGAAUUACUGGGCGUAAAGCGCGCGUAGGCGGCUUCGUAAGUCGGGUGUGAAAGCCCCGGGCUCAACCUGGGAACUGCGCUCGAUACUGCGGAGCUCGAGUACGAGAGAGGGGGGUGGAAUUCCAGGUGUAGCGGUGAAAUGCGUAGAGAUCUGGAGGAACACCGGUGGCGAAGGCGGCCCCCUGGUUCGAUACUGACGCUGAGGUGCGAAAGCGUGGGGAGCAAACAGGAUUAGAUACCCCCGUAGUCC